rnacentral:ncRNA from 2 species
GCCUAGGGUAGAGGUGCUGUAACUAAGAGUAGUCAUAGGGAGCGGGCACGCUGUGAUAUAUGAUAAAAGGGGUUACAGCCGAAGGAAAAAUAUUUUGCUGGUAUUUUUCCUGGCUUUGCAUAGAAUAUAUGCAUGGCUGUCAUCAAAGAUUUGGUGGAGAGCUACAAGGUUC